GGGUUGUGAGGUUAAGCGACUAAGCGUACACGGUGGAUGCCCUGGCAGUCAGAGGCGAUGAAGGACGUGCUAAUCUGCGAUAAGCGCCGGUAAGGUGAUAUGAACCGUUAUAACCGGCGAUUUCCGAAUGGGGAAACCCAGUGUGACUCGUCACACUAUCAUUAACUGAAUCCAUAGGUUAAUGAGGCGAACCGGGGGAACUGAAACAUCUAAGUACCCCGAGGAAAAGAAAUCAACCGAGAUUCCCCCAGUAGCGGCGAGCGAACGGGGAGGAGCCCAGAGCCUGAAUCAGCAUGUGUGUUAGUG
rnacentral:rRNA from 1 species